rnacentral:rRNA from 1 species
UACUACAUGGAGUCGAACGAACUUCCGUUAAUUGAUCAGGACGUGCUUGCACUGAAUGAGAUUUUAACACGAAGUGAGUGGCGGACGGGUGAGUAACACGUGGGUAACCUGCCCAGAAGCAGGGGAUAACACCUGGAAACAGAUGCUAAUACCGUAUAACAGAGAAAACCGCCUGGUUUUCUUUUAAAAGAUGGCUCUGCUAUCACUUCUGGAUGGACCCGCGGCGCAUUAGCUAGUUGGUGAGGUAACGGCUCACCAAGGCGAUGAUGCGUAGCCGACCUGAGAGGGUAAUCGGCCACAUUGGGACUGAGACACGGCCCAGACUCCUACGGGAGGCAGCAGUAGGGAAUCUUCCACAAUGGACGCAAGUCUGAUGGAGCAACGCCGCGUGAGUGAAGAAGGGUUUCGGCUCGUAAAGCUCUGUUGUUAAAGAAGAACGUGGGUGAGAGUAACUGUUCACCCAGUGACGGUAUUUAACCAGAAAGCCACGGCUAACUACGUGCCAGCAGCCGCGGUAAUACGUAGGUGGCAAGCGUUAUCCGGAUUUAUUGGGCGUAAAGCGAGCGCAGGCGGUCUUUUAAGUCUAAUGUGAAAGCCUUCGGCUCAACCGAAGAAGUGCAUUGGAAACUGGGAGACUUGAGUGCAGAAGAGGACAGUGGAACUCUAUGUGUAGCGGUGAAAUGCGUAGAUAUAUGGAAGAACACCAGUGGCGAAGGCGGCUGUCUGGUCUGUAACUGACGCUGAGGCUCGAAAGCAUGGGUAGCGAACAGGAUUAGAUACCCUGGUAGUCCAUGCCGUAACGAUGAUUACUAAGUGUUGGAGGGUUUCCGCCCUUCAGUGCUGCAGCUAACGCAUUAAGUAAUUCCGCCUGGGGAGUACGACGCAAGGUGAAACUCAAAAGAAUUGACGGGG